GACGAACGCUGGCGGCGUGCUUAACACAUGCAAGUCGAGCGGUAAGGCCCUUUCGGGGGUACACGAGCGGCGAACGGGUGAGUAACACGUGGGUGACCUGCCCUCAGCUCUGGGAUAAGCCUGGGAAACCGGGUCUAAUACUGGAUAUGACUCCAUGACGCAUGUUGUGGGGUGGAAAGCCUUGUGCGGCUGAGGAUGGGCCCGCGGCCUAUCAGCUUGUUGGUGGGGUGAUGGCCUACCAAGGCGACGACGGGUAGCCGGCCUGAGAGGGCGACCGGCCACACUGGGACUGAGACACGGCCCAGACUCCUACGGGAGGCAGCAGUGGGGAAUCUUGCGCAAUGGGCGAAAGCCUGACGCAGCGACGCCGCGUGAGGGAUGACGGCCUGUGU
rnacentral:rRNA from 1 species